UACGUAGUCCCUAAGUGGCUUCCACUUGUAUUGGGCCUAAAACACCUGUAGCUGGUGCUGUAAGUCCUUGGUGAAAUCAGUCGGCUUAACCGACUGAAUUGCUAAAGAUACUGCAGUGCUUGGGGAAGAGAGACGCAAAGGGAAUUUUUGGGGUAGCGGUGAAAUGCGAUGAUCCCAAAAAGACCUCCAGUAGCGAAGGCGACUAACUGGACAUAUAUUGACGCUGAGGUACGAAAGCGUGGGGAGCAAACAG
rnacentral:rRNA from 1 species